UGCCAGCCGCCGCGGUAAUACGUAGGGUGCAAGCGUUGUUCGGAUUUACUGGGCGUAAAGGGCGUGUAGGCGGAAAGAUAAGCAGGAGGUGAAAUCCCGGGGCUCAACCCCGGAACUGCUUCCUGAACUGUAUUUCUAGAGAGGGUCAGAGGCUAGUGGAAUUCCCAGUGUAGAGGUGAAAUUCGUAGAUAUUGGGAAGAACACCAGUGGCGAAGGCGGCUAACUGGCUCGGUACUGACGCUGAGAUGCGAAAGCGUGGGGAGCAAACAGGAUUAGAUA
rnacentral:rRNA from 1 species